rnacentral:rRNA from 1 species
CUACGGGAGGCAGCAGUGGGGAAUUUUGGACAAUGGGCGAAAGCCUGAUCCAGCCAUGCCGCGUGAGUGAAGAAGGCCUUCGGGUUGUAAAGCUCUUUCAGGUGGAAAGAAAUCACCGCCCCGAAUACGGGUGGUGGAUGACGGUACCAUCAGAAGAAGCACCGGCUAACUACGUGCCAGCAGCCGCGGUAAUACGUAGGGUGCGAGCGUUAAUCGGAAUUACUGGGCGUAAAGCGUGCGCAGGCGGUUGUGUAAGACAGGUGUGAAAUCCCCGGGCUUAACCUGGGAACUGCGCUUGUGACUGCACAGCUAGAGUACGGCAGAGGGGGGUGGAAUUCCACGUGUAGCAGUGAAAUGCAUAGAGAUGUGGAGGAACACCGAUGGCGAAGGCAGCCCCCUGGGCCUGUACUGACGCUCAUGCACGAAAGCGUGGGGAACAAACAGGAUUAGAAACCCCUGUAGUCC